rnacentral:misc_RNA from 13 species
UACGAAAUCUUAACGAAACAUAAAUAUAUUUGCGAAAGUAUGAUAGAAUAGAAAUUAUUUAAAAGUAUAUUCUAUGUUCUUAAUCGGGCGGUACAAAAUGUACUUUUAAAACGUCUUUACCGCGCUUUGCAACACUACAUACGUGCUAUUUCAUAAUUUUUAAUACCAUACCUGCAACAUUAUAGGUUUUAGUUAAAAAAUUAAUAAAGCCCUAAACAUGUUAGUCAGAAAUAUUUGCAAGUUUACGCAAGCUAUGGUCAGGUUUCGCGUUGUCGCGAAUCCCAGAGAUUACUGUCAUCUUGCGCCGCUGAAGAGAAGCCGUUAUCACCAACGGUCAGAAUUCGGAUGUCGACCGCUGUGCUCCAAUAGUGCGGGCUACCAGGUGUCCUGGGUAGCUGUACCCACUUCUGGCUCUUCCAGUGGAAUGUUUUGGGCAUUUUCCGCUGCUUUCUCUUUGAAUCUGUUUGGUCCCACCGACGAAAAGGAGGAAACUCCGGAGGAAAAGCUGAUCAAGACCAUCAAACGAUCAAUCCUGUGCAUUCAGAGGGAACAGUACGACAAGGCCGAGCAAAUGCUCCACCUGGCUCUGCGAAUGGCGCAGGAUAUUCAGAGCAAGGACGGCAUCACAUAUGUGUUUGAUCUGAUGGCCAAUUUGGCCAUGGAACGCGAGCAGUUUAAGAAGGCGGAGAAGAUAUUCACGGACGUGAUGAAACGCCUCUUUGCCGAGGGACACACCGAAGAGAGCCCCAAGCUCCAAGAUAGCACACAUGUCUCAGCUGCAAGGGGAUCUGGAAAAGAGCUUUCAAGGGUUUACUUGGACCUUGCAGCAGUUGGCUAAGCUACUGGAGAAAAUGCCCGACGACAAGGACAUACUGGAGCUGUAUGGCUUGACAAAGAAUUGGUUCGGCCAGCUGCUUAUGAAGCAGGGCAAGUACCUGGAGGCUAAAAACCUCUUUAAGGAGGCCUUCGACACGCUCAUAAAUGUUUAUGGUGC